UCAACUCUGGCUGAAGAGUAGCGUUGAUCCGAGCGUUCUGAUCUCAGAAAAGCAGUCAAGCUAGCUAACUGGCUAACGUUGGCCAGCUUUCUAGCUACUCCCAGACACAAAUGAGAGAACCUCACUCUGGCCAUUGUACUUGUUAUCUACAGCGUUAGUGGCUUUAGCUGUGCUGCUGGCAACAACAUACUUACUUGUUUUGCCUACGUUUACUGACACCUGUCAGAUUCAGCGUUUUUUGGCGCGUUCGUCAAUUCAUCGGUUAUUCUGCGAUCUUGCACACUCAGACGAGAGUGCUCUGAAAUCGGAGUAGAUAUCCAGUGAAUUUUCGAACGCACCCUCUAAUCAAGCACAAUUGAGCCAGCCAACCUGUAUCGUCAUUUCGGGGUCCUUAUUCAGAGUGACCAACGAGGAUUAGUCCGUGAUUCGACCUUUUUCGUGUAUGUUAUUUUUGUUUAGUUAGCCAAGUAAAAUGUACUACAAGUUAAAUGCAGUUACACAAAGACUUAUCCAAUCGGCACCGAGUGCUGACAACCCUCAGGGAUUGAGGAUAACCGUGCCCACGGAGGCUCCCCCAAAUGAUCUUUGCCACACCCACCAAAUAUGUGUCAGAGGCAGGGAACAUGGUGGAGUACCUGGGACACAACAAAGUCCCUGACCUUCUAGAAGUCUGAUGGUAUCCCGGUGCACCUGAAGGGAGGCCUGAUGGACAUGAUGCUGUACAGGACUACCAUGUCCCUGACCAUCGGUGGGACCCUCUACUGCCUGAUGGCUCUCUACAUCGCUGCCCAGCCUCGGAAGUGAUCAGCUUCCUCCUCUUCAAGGGUCCAGCAGGAUUUUAUGAGUCAGAUUAGGAGCAAUAAUGUGGAUAAUGAUUAUGCUCACUGUCAGUCAAGGAAAGGGAUUGCUUUACCCCUCCAAUGUAUAUAUUACCUCUCCAUGUCUUAUUUAUUGCCUAGUUUCAUGUUAGGGUUCCCUUCUGCAAGAUUUCAUCAGACACAAAUAAUGUCUCAUUUGUAAAAUGGAGGAGAAAUCUAAUAUAUCACUACUGCUGGCCCAUCUUACUCGCUCUGUGUAUGUGUGCUUGUGCAAGUUGUACAUGUGUAUCUCUACUGACAUUUCUGUAUGUUUCCUAUACAACCAGUAUCAUUUCAGUGGUUCAAUAACUACAACUGCUGAUCAACAAUCUAAAAAUAACAUCAGUCUGACCAUGUUUUCUGUCAGCACACAUGUAUGUGUUUGGAAAGGAUUUGGGGGUCUCAUGUAUGAAUUUGGGUUAUCUUUUGUUUGGAUGAGAGUGGACAGGGCUAGCACCUUUCAAAGCUAAAAAUUAGGUGGUACUUCAGGUUGUGUGAUCAAUAGUGUGUCUGUAAUAUACUCUGAACACCCCCCCCCCCAAGUCCCUAUGUUAUGGUACAGAGGUUAUGAGUUGUCAUUUAGGCUGUGUCCUAACUGACAAUGUUCUGUAAAAAGAGAGUGCAUGCAUAGUGGAUUGCAAAGAAUAUCUGACAAGUCAUAAUUUUGUCUUGGGGAUAAUAAAGAACAUUUUGUCUGUAAAACAUGAUUUAAAAAAAAUGUAUUUUUUUUAUUUUUAUCUAGUACCUCAAUUAAAGGGCUAUCGAACUAUUCUAGGAAUAGCUGACCUUGAAAUGGGAUAUUCCUCAUAGCAGGAUCUAUGACUUUGAAUGCUACUUGGACAUCCUUGUUCAACUGGUAAUUUAUUUACCAUGUCAUAGAUUUCUAUUCUCCAAGUCACUUCAGCACAAUUAGAAAUGUAUAUGUGAGUCUUUUUAUACUCAAAAUGUAAUAUUUCACAAGACAUUGACUAAUGGGCGGUAUCAAGGUAGAGCAGAGAUUUUGUUGAUCGAUCUUUGCUUUAUUCUUGAUUUUUACAAUCUGUACAAUAGCCAGUUAGACCUUUCCAUCAUACUCUUCUAUAUCUAUGUCGAAGACAUUCGGUCAUUAAGUGGGAAUUGACACGAGUAUGCAUAUGAGGUUUUAUGUUAAUUGUUGACAUGUCCAGCCACCUUGCUCACAAAAUGAUGGCAAAAGGAUAUCUAGCCACUUAAUAAU